AGAGUUUGAUCAUGGCUCAGGACGAACGCUGGCGGCGUGCUUAACACAUGCAAGUCGAGCGGAAAGGCCCUUCGGGGUACUCGAGCGGCGAACGGGUGAGUAACACGUGAGUAACCUGCCCCUGGCUCUGGGAUAGCCUCCGGAAACGGGGAUUAAUACCGGAUAUUCACUUCCUUCCGCAUGGUGGGGGGUGGAAAGUU
rnacentral:rRNA from 1 species